GACGAACGCUGGCGGCGUGCUUAACACAUGCAAGUCGAACGGUGACCUCGGAGCUUGCUCCGGGCGAUCAGUGGCGAACGGGUGAGUAACACGUGACCAACCUGCCCCUAGCUCUGGGAUAACCCCGGGAAACCGGGGCUAAUACCGGAUACGAGACCGAGCGGCAUCACACGGUCUGGAAAGUUUUUCGGCUAGGGAUGGGGUCGCGGCCUAUCAGCUUGUUGGUGGGGUAACGGCCCACCAAGGCGACGACGGGUAGCCGGCCUGAGAGGGCGACCGGCCACACUGGGACUGAGACACGGCCCAGACUCCUACGGGAGGCAGCAGUGGGGAAUAUUGCGCAAUGGGCGAAAGCCUGACGCAGCGACGCCGCGUGAGGGAAUGAAGGCC
rnacentral:rRNA from 1 species